UCUCCGGACGUGACAGUGGCACUGGCUGUCUCUGGAUGUCGUAUCAUUUGCCUGGCUGUCUCUUCAUUUGAUGUUGUGCCUAGACUGAAUUUGCAUUCUGAGGCUUGCUCUGGAUGUCAUAUUUGUUUCCUGGUUGUAAGCGGUCACUGGCUGUCUCGCUGGGUGAGACAUUGUUUCUGACAGCCACUGGAUGUGACAGUGCCCUCUCGCCUGGAUGCUUCCUUUCUUUGGGGGAUUUGUGCACAGAACACAUCACACCCCCAUAGUUUAGGUUCCUUCUGUCACAAGGGGAGAGACGUAUGCACGCCUGUACAGCCAUGUCAUCCUCAGAUGAAGAAACUCUCAGUGAGAGGUCAUACCGUAGUGAAAGGUCCUGUCGCAGUGAGAGGUCUGGAAGUUUGUCACCGUGUCCUCCAGGCGAUACUCUCCCUUGGAAUCUGCCACGCCA